GCCAGAGAGGUUUGGAACCUUUGUUGGCUCAGUUUCUCUAGAAUUUAGAUUUUAUAGUGGUUUGUCCACUGAUUUAGGGAGCAUAUGAAGUUUUACUAAAUUAAUUGAUAACAAAAAUAUCCCAUUUACCAUGUAAGAGAGUUUAGAAUACAUUAAUACAAAUGUAGAAUAUGGUUGAAAAUUUUAAAACAGCACUAAAAAUUAUAGGCUUCAGUAUAUUAACCAUUUACCGAAAAACUAAAUAUUUUGAGAAAAAUUCAUAGAUGUAUCAUGAACUAAUAUUGUUUUAAUGAUAAUAUUGUUUUAAUGAAUAGUUGUAUGAUAAUAUGAUAAUAUUGUUCUAUAAUGUACAUAGAUUUUGAGAAAAAUUCAAAAAAUAUGAUAAUAUUGUUUUAAUGAAUAGUUGUAUCAUGAACUAAA
rnacentral:lncRNA from 1 species